rnacentral:pre_miRNA from 1 species
GGCCCAAACUUGAAGUAGAGUAGAUUAGAAGGAUUAUUUGACCUUAAUAAACCACACUACUUCGAGUUUGUGCCC